rnacentral:rRNA from 1 species
UACGUAGGAGACGAGCGUUGUCCGGAAUUACUGGGCGUAAAGCGCGUGUAGGCGGAUGAGCAAGUCUGCUGUGAAAGCUCCUGGCUUAACCGGGAGUGGUCGGUGGAAACUGCUCGUCUGGAGGACGGUAGAGGUAGGUAGAAUUCCCGGUGUAGUGGUGAAAUGCGUAGAGAUCGGGAGGAAUACCUGUGGCGAAGGCGGCCUGCUGGGCCGGACCUGACGCUGAGACGCGAAGGCGUGGGGAGCGAACGGG